rnacentral:rRNA from 1 species
GACGAACGCUGGCGGCGUGCUUAACACAUGCAAGUCGAACGAUGAAGCACCAGCUUGCUGGUGUGGAUUAGUGGCGAACGGGUGAGUAACACGUGAGUAACCUGCCCCCCACUCUGGGAUAAGCCUGGGAAACUGGGUCUAAUACUGGAUAUGACCAUUGAACUCAUGUUCUGAUGGUGGAAAGCUUUAGUGGUGGGGGAUGGACUCGCGGCCUAUCAGCUUGUUGGUGGGGUAAUGGCCUACCAAGGCGACGACGGGUAGCCGGCCUGAGAGGGCGACCGGCCACACUGGGACUGAGACACGGCCCAGACUCCUACGGGAGGCAGCAGUGGGGAAUAUUGCACAAUGGGCGAAAGCCUGAUGCAGCGACGCCGCGUGAGGGAUGAAGGCCUUCGGGUUGUAAACCUCUUUCACCAGGGACGAAGCCGCAAGGUGACGGUACCUGGAGAAGAAGCACCGGCUAACUACGUGCCAGCCGCCGCAGUAAAAC